GAAGGCUGAAAUUCGCCUUCAUGAAGCUGGAAUUGCUAGUAAUGGCAGGUCAGCAUACUGCCGUGAAUACGUUCCCGGGCCUUGUACACACCGCCCGUCACACCAUGAGAGUUGGGAAUACCCGAAGCCUGUGAGCCAACUUUUAAAGAGGCAACAGUCGAAGGUAGAAUCAAUGAUUGGGGUGAAGUCGUAACAAGGUACC
rnacentral:rRNA from 1 species